UACGUAGGGGGCAAGCGUUGUCCGGAAUCAUUGGGCGUAAAGAGCGUGUAGGCGGCCAGCUAAGUCCGCUGUGAAAUCUCGAGGCUCAACUUCGAGCUGUCGGUGGAAACUGUCUGGCUAGAGUCCGGAAGAGGAGAAUGGAAUUCCUGGUGUAGCGGUGAAAUGCGCAGAUAUCAGGAAGAACACCCGUGGCGAAGGCGGUUCUCUGGGACGGUACUAACGCUGAGACGCGAAAGCGUGGGGAGCGAACAGG
rnacentral:rRNA from 1 species